GUGGUAGAAAGAAAUAAGAAGAUGUGGUAUGUGUGUUAAUGAGACACAAUGUGUCAAAAGUAAACAAUUUUUAUAAGUCAAGAAUGGUGUUCAACACAGAGCCUUGACUUACACAGAACAGCAACCAAGCUAUAAAUGGGCCCAAAAUAACUUGUCACAGUCUAGUGUAAAACAAUAUAAACAGGAAGACCAAAAGUCUUUUCUAUACAAAAGACAAGAAACCUUUAACAAGAAUAUUUUCCCAGAACUUUG
rnacentral:lncRNA from 1 species